rnacentral:rRNA from 1 species
GACGAACCGUCCGAACGUUAUUCGGAAUCACUGGGCUUAAAGGGUGCGUAGGCGGCGCAGUAAGUAGGGUGUGAAAUCCCUCGGCUUAACCGAGGAACUGCGCCCUAAACUACUGUGCUCGAGUGAGGUAGAGGUGAGCGGAACUUAGGGUGGAGCGGUGAAAUGCGUUGAUAUCCUAAGGAACACCGGUGGCGAAAGCGGCUCACUGGACCUCUUCUGACGCUGAGGCACGAAAGCUAGGGUAGCGAACGGG